GUGAAACUGUGUUUUUAUCUCCGUUUAUUCGGGAUUUAAGUAAAUCGCGUGUUAAAAGAUAGGACUUAUGACAAAGUGGUGGGGUGCGCGACUUCCACGUUUCAGUUAACGGUUAACGACCGCGGUCGUUGGCCUACGUCACGCGAGCGGGCAUCCGGUCGAAUAUACUAGAAUAUUCGAAUAUUCAAAUUUUCGGCAAAAAUCGGUUUUCGUGGAAGACUGGACUUAAGUCGGUCGGGCGGCACAAAAAUCGAUGUUACAUAUCCACGUACGUGCAACGAGACCGUGAGUACUUAGAAAUUAUUUUCAUAAUUUUAGGUAAAGUCGUUUCCAAAAUAUUAAGGUUUUAAUCCCAAAAAACGAGCAUACAGGUACCAGGGUACCAGGAGAAAAUCGUUCUUUUUCGACAUACACAUCUGACGUCAUACUCGACACACGCGCGCUUACGAAUUAUUUCUCGUGACGUAUACUGUGUUCGGUUUGUUUACGUUUUGUACUUUGAAUAAUUUUUCGAUUUUUCACUGUGACGUCACGGAAGCGUAAAAGUG